CAUUGUAAUUAAGCCCCUUCGCAGAGAUGUGAAAGGUGCACUACUCGAUUUAUUGACUAGGAAAGAAUGAGAGUUACUUUGCUUUACUGCACAUUAGAAACUCUUGACAAGUCAGCAUACUGGAGAUCUGACGUAUAGCGCAUUCCUAGGUAACUGGAGAGUAACUGGUGAUUAGAAGUGUUUCAGCUGAUAAAACACCAUCUGUUUUGGCAUUGAUGAAUUAUACCUGCUCUAAAUCAGACAGAAAUAAAACCAAAUCAUUUUAUAUCUAAUAGUUUCCUCUGAAAAUCUUGUUUUACCCAUUUUAGAAGCCUGUGCAUUAAAGAUCUUAAUGUGAUGGCCUGUAUUUGCCGUUCCAGGGAACAUAAUGUUACUGCUAUACAUACACCAGUCAUUCCUAAAUGUUAUUUUCAAUCUAAACCCAACCAGCUAACAUUUCUUAAUUAAGGAUGCAGGCAGAAACCUCGGGUAUUAAGCAUAAUGUGAUUCCAAUGGUUUCACUAUAAAUAUGAUGCUUACUAUACAUAAUCUUGAAUAAUUUUGUGCCAACCCUAGAUUGACCUAUUCUAGGGUUUAGCAUAGAAAGGCAUUAUAUGCAAAACAUUUCAAAAGAACUGUAGUUACCAAUAGGAUGUAAGAUAGCGCAGUCAGCCAGUCUUGGUGUGGGACACGCGAGUGAUGCAGAGUGAUUGUGUUUGGUUGGCCUCUGUGUUAAAGUUCACCACCUGGAGGCUGCCACAGUAGUGUAGAGAUAUACUGACGCCUUAUCCAGCCUACUUCAAUGUUUUGGUUUUCUGUUCAGUUGAGAUUCUUAGCAUCUCUCCUCCGCUGGCAGGUGAUUGUGAACAACAAACCACAUAUCCAGCACAACAGCUGCCAUAUGGAGCAAGGCAACAGACUGGAAAUGUUUGGAUGUGUCCUGUUUUGAGGAUGAGCCAACCCAAACGGUGAUGGACAAGCACAAAACAGACUGAAUAGUGUCAGCGUAGAAGAUGACCUGCAUCUCCUGUGGGGGGUUGUACUUGGUGCCACAUAAACCUCAGAGACCUUCACAGAACGUCUUGAUUUACACUGAGAUACAAUUACACAGAACUGGAUUCAAAUUAUUAGGUACUUGGUUGCGAUUUUUAUUAAUUGUAUCAUAGUAAAAGGUGGCUGAAUACAAAUGCGUGCUUCACACUGAUUUUUUUGUUUUUGUUUAAAAUGAUUAAAAAGUUUAAUAAAUUA